CUUAUACAGUCACAGAGUAACACAAUGACUCACACACCGGUCAAAUUGUAGCCACCCUCCAAUUUACUACCUUAUGGGUGCAGGAGGGAGGCUUCUGCUGGCUGAGGCUGUUGGGAGGUAGAGUCUGGUUCUCACCCUCCUCUCUUAGAUUCUGCCUUCUUCUCUUCCUCCCGCAUGGGUCAAUGUUAUCUGGGAGGAAAUGACUAGCUCUCACUUCCUCCCAGCACAGGCUGCAGGUAUGAGAGGGGCCCAGCCGCGCUGUUGAAGAGCAGCAGUGUUGCGGGCCCUGGCACAGCCACACU